rnacentral:lncRNA from 7 species
GAUCAGCUCUUAGGCUUUUGGGCUAAAGAAUUCUGUCUUUAUGGUGUUGAAAGGGGUUCUGGAGCCAUCAUCACAGCUUAAACUGGGAAGAUAUGUUAAACUAAACUGGAUGAGAACCUGCCAGUGAUGAGGGAUUACUUCGUGUCCUCUACGUGAAGCUGUGUGCUAGAAAUUAAUCUGUUUUCAGGGUUCCUCUAGUUUCUAUGGCUUGGGCCAAUUUAAGAGUGAGGAGAUAAAUUUGUGUAGCUGCAACACACAGGGAAUGAAUCUAUUUACACAGAGGUUCCUCUCACUCAUCAACUCUUCUGGUAAAAUGCGAGAAUCUCUUCUGACUCCAUCCUUUACCUUGCUAAUAUAGCCAUUAGGAUUCAGUAUUGCAGCAAAAUUUAUGCCAUGUGAAUAGAGUUAACUUUUUGUUAUAUGCAACAUCUGAGGCUGUAAUAUAAAGUCUCUUCAGCUUAACUUACUUUUCUGACAUAUUUGAGUUGGUGUGUGCAUCAGCUUCAGUGCAUGUGGGAGAAGACGGGGUAUACAGCACCUCAGGUAGAGGCACGAGAGAAUAUUACACUUUCUGAAGCAAUAAAGCCAGGCAGCUUAACUGGGCAAAUAAACUAUUUAGAGAAAUUGAAAGUGUACUGUUUUGUUGUCACUGAAGACAAAUUCCCCAAACAGGCUCACCUUUUAAUAACUUGUUGACUGACGCACGAGCUCAAAAUGAAAGCUAUUGAUAGUGUCUGGCUGAGACAUCUGUACAGCAAUACAGGGAAAAUCUACCCAAAUCUAUAUUGGGGGAUACCUUGUGUGCAGAUGAGCUGUUAAUCUAAAGCACAUAUUAGUCAGAAUUUUAAUCAAGUAUUUUGAAUGAGAAAGUUUCAGCGGCAGGGACACAAUCUUUAAAUUGAAAGAGAUAUUGCAUGCUGUUGAAUGAACGCUCUUGUGUUCAGAUUUGGCCCCAUUUACAAACAGCAUUUAGAUGUCCUGCAUUUAUUCUGGGUGUGAAGUUUGUCUGAUGGGAGCUGUCUUUGGGAUGUAUUUACUUCCCCUCCGUAGGUGUUGCGCCUUGUAAUUAAUGCUGCCUGCCACACUGCUGGGAGUAUCCUUGCUUCUCUCUCCACGUUUUCAGGAGAAAGUAAGUUAAAGAAACCUUCAUUUAUAAUAUGAGAUGGUAGAGAGAGAGCCUGGCAUGUGUCUUUGUCAAGAGCCAGCCCUGAAACGAUAUUGAAAACUAUAUUAAACACAGCAAGAACAGACAGGGCUGGAUACAGAGGGAAAUAGUAUCAGUAGUAAACAAAGUUGGGAAGGCAGCAGCUGUAUUUCAUAGCAGCAUUAGGAAGGGAAGUAUUAAAAUUGUUUCUGCUUAAUAAUACUAAUGUGAAGUUCUUUGUCUCUAUUUGAUUCUUAGCAGCUAUGAUAUUUCUGUAUGUAAUACGUUCACUGUAUUACGUGUACGUCACUUGAUGAUAUGCGGUGCUGAGUUAGGUAUGUGUGAGGAAAAAGAGAAUACUAAGCCAAGAGAAUGUUUUUUGUAGCAUGUUUUUUUUUUCCAUACCAGAAUCAAUAUGCUCAUAAAGAAAAAAAUUCUCAGGGAAAGGCAAUACUUGGUAUUGUGUUAAUAUGAGCCUGUAAUGGAACUUUAAUUCCUAACUAUGCUUCCAUCCCCUCCAUUCCUUAUUUCAUGCUACAUUGUUCACAGCAUCAAUUCCACAGCCUUUCAGUUAAACUUAACAUUUCCAGCUCUUAAAAAUUCAGAACUUAUUCUUUAUUUACAGGAGCCGUUCACCUGUUCAGAACUGCCUCAUUAUUUAAAACAGUUACCUAGAAAAUGUUUAAAUAUAAUUUGUUUUCCUUUGAAAAUACUUAGAAGAAGCAAGAAUAUUUUGGUGUUUAUAUUCUUGUUUGGUUUGUUUAGCUUUCUGGAAAGUUCUUUUAAUUUUUAUUCCAUUAUCCUAUUUAAAAAUAAUGACUGGUCUGGAGAUCCUACUUUAUGCUACACAAACAUUUUAGAGUUAAUAAAAUGAUUAAUUUCUGUU